rnacentral:rRNA from 1 species
GAUGAACGCUGGCGGCGUGCCUAAUACAUGCAAGUCGAGCGAACGGACGAGAAGCUUGCUUCUCUGAUGUUAGCGGCGGACGGGUGAGUAACACGUGGAUAACCUACCUAUAAGACUGGGAUAACUUCGGGAAACCGGAGCUAAUACCGGCUAAUAUUUUGAACCGCAUGGUUCAAAAUUGAAAGACGGUUUUGCUGUAACUUAUAGAUGGAUCCGCGCUGCAUUAGCUAGUUGGUAAGGUAACGGCUUACCAAGGCAACGAUGCAUAGCCGACCUGAGAGGGUGAUCGGCCACACUGGAACUGAGACACGGUCCAGACUCCUACGGGAGGCAGCAGUAGGGAAUCUUCCGCAAUGGGCGAAAGCCUGACGGAGCAACGCCGCGUGAGUGAUGAAGGUCUUCGGAUCGUAAAACUCUGUUAUUAGGGAAGAACAUAUGUGUAAGUAACUGUGCACAUCUUGACGGUACCUAAUCAGAAAGCCACGGCUAACUACGUG